CACGUAGGGUGCAAGCGUUGUCCGGAAUCACUGGGCGUAAAGGGCGCGUAGGCGGCCUGGUAAGUAGGGGGUGAAAUCCUGCGGCUUAACCGCAGGGCUGCCUUCUAAACUGUCAGGCUCGAGCACGGUAGAGGCAGAUGGAAUUCCUGGUGUAGCGGUGAAAUGCGCAGAUAUCAGGAAGAACACCAAUGGCGAAGGCAGCUCUCUGGGACGGUACUGCCGCUGAGACGCGAAAGCGUGGGGAGCGAACAGG
rnacentral:rRNA from 1 species